GCUGUGAUGGCCAAGGGGUGAAGGCGUUGAGCUUGAAACCCAGCAGGACUCAAACCUGUGCAGGUUCAAAUCCUGCUCACAGUG
rnacentral:tRNA from 1 species